rnacentral:siRNA from 1 species
GUAAUUCGAAAAAGUAGCGUGGUA